GACGAACGCUGGCGGCGUGCUUAACACAUGCAAGUCGAACGGAAAGGCCCUGCUUUUGUGGGGUGCUCGAGUGGCGAAGGGGGGAGUAACACGAGAGUAACCUGCCCUUGACUUUGGGAUAACUUCAGGAAACUGGGGAUAAUACCGGAUAGGAGCUCCUGCUGCAUGGUGGGGGAUGGAAAGUGUCGGCGGUUGGGGAUGGACUCGCGGCUUAUCAGCUUGUUGGUGGGGUAGUGGCUUACCAAGGCUUUGACGGGUAGCCGGCCUGAGAGGGUGACCGGCCACAUUGGGACAGAGAUACGGCCCAGACUCCUACGGGAGGCAGCAGUGUGGAAUAUUGCACAAUGGGCGGAAGACUGAUGCAGCAACGCCGCGUGCGGGAUGACGGCCUUCGGGUUGUAAACCGCUUUCGCCUGUGACGAAGCGUGAGUGACGGUAAUGGGUAAAGAAGCACCGGCUAACUACGUG
rnacentral:rRNA from 1 species